rnacentral:rRNA from 1 species
UAACCCAAGGCUGACCUCGGAUCAGGUAGGAAGACCCGCUGAACUUAAGCAUAUCAAUAAGCGGAGGAAAAGAAACCAACAGGGAUUGCCCUAGUAACGGCGAGUGAAGCGGCAACAGCUCAAAUUUGAAAUCUGGCUUCGGCCCGAGUUGUAAUUUGCAGAGGAAGCUUUAGGCGCGGCACCUUCUGAGUCCCCUGGAACGGGGCGCCAUAGAGGGUGAGAGCCCCGUAUAGUUGGAUGCCUAGCCUGUGUAAAGCUCCUUCGACGAGUCGAGUAGUUUGGGAAUGCUGCUCAAAAUGGGAGGUAAAUUUCUUCUAAAGCUAAAUACCGGCCAGAGACCGAUAGCGCACAAGUAGAGUGAUCGAAAGAUGAAAAGCACUUUGAAAAGAGGGUUAAAUAGCACGUGAAAUUGUUGAAAGGGAAGCGCUUGUGACCAGACUUGCGCCGGGCAGAUCAUCCGGUGUUCUCACCGGUGCACUCUGCCCGGCUCAGGCCAGCAUCGGUUCUCGCGGGGGGAUAAAGGCAUCGGGAACGUGGCUCCUCCGGGAGUGUUAUAGCCCGUUGCGUAAUGCCCUCGCGGGGACCGAGGUUCGCGCAUCUGCAAGGAUGCUGGCGUAAUGGUCAUCAGCGAC